AUACUUAUCGUGCGAUUACUGUUUAUAAUCUAAAUACUACUGAUUCUUUUGUUUAUUUAGUUAGGUUAGGUUAGCUUCUUGUUUUGAGUAAACAAAAAACUACAAUUCUUUGCAUAUGAAACUUAUUGCGAUGAGAUUAAAUACUUAGGUGUAGGAAAAAUAAAAGAAACAAUAAAGAGUAGGGAUCAGAUACUUAUCAUUUUUGCAGUAAGUGAUCUGACAAAAAAGAUAUAUAUAUAGACAGAUAGAAUAGAUUUAGAUUUAUUUGAUAUUCAUUAUACAUCUAUAACCUUUUAAAAAGUGGGAAUGGAAAUUACUGUAGCUUAUCUACAGUAAAUUAAAACGCAUCGUUUCCUUUUCCCAUGUUAUUUGCAGUUCUCUGGUAUCCUGAGUCUUCUCUUCCCUUGAAUAUCUCCUUGUUUUUCUGCCAUGGCUGGGGAGUGGUGACAGGCACAGCAACAGCCAGCAAGCACUCAUCUUGAAUUUCUCUCUCCUCCCCAACGACGAAUUUGUAAAAUCUUUCUUCUGGUAUAGGAGGCCUUGAAUUAUUCUUUUUGAUGAUGUGAGCACGCUUUCCCCAAUUGAGCUGCAAACGUUCCACAAGAUCUGCUAAGAGACGGGGAAAGGAAUCUAUCAGCUGCCAGAAUGUUAUGUACGUGCUCAUGUCUUUGUUCGUGAGCUAGAUUUUAUAUCAUCAUAGAACACAGUCAAGCAAAAGUUAUACCAAAAAGGUAGAAAUCCAAGCUGCUAAUUGCAAGGUAUUCAUAAAUGAGCAUUUUUUCCUCUCUUUCCACGCAAAAUCCCAGCACCUUAACCAAGUUUACAUGCUGAAGUUUUGCAGUGAGCAUAACUUCAUUCUUGAACUGCUCAAAUCCUUACCUUGAAGCUUUUGAAAGUCUCUUUACUGCUAUUUCCUGCCCUGUCUUUAAUUUACCCUGGAGAAACAGAUAUAUGUAUCUUAUAUGCUGUGUUUGUUUAAGUGGUGAGGGAAAUGUACUUGGUAUUGAUUUUGAAGGAUACCUUAUAAACCGGUCCAUACCCACCCUCUCCAAGCUUCUUGUAAAAUGAAAAAUUACUUGUGGCUGCUGUAAUUUCUUUGAAACUGAAUACCUUCAUGUCAGGUGAAUCAUAAGGAUUCUUUCCACCUUGCAGUUUUCAGUUAGUGAUUCAGUGACUCCCUUUCUAUCACUGUCACUAUUUGCAUCUUCGGUUCAUUCUGCUUGAUGGCAUACAUUGAUGGUUUCUUCUCAUAUGUGAUGCUGACUUCUCGAUCUUUUGCUUUGCCCCAUAGCAAUAGAUACAGACCUAUGAUGAUUGUAACUUCUACCAUGCUGAACAACCAGUGAUAAUUCAGAACAUCUAAUCUUAUUAUCUAUUCCUUAUAUGAGCACAAAGAGUGAAAGAGCAUUUUAUGAGCUAUGCUUACCUGCCCGUGUAUAGCUUUUCACCAACAAUGAAAUAUACUGGCGUAGUUAAGCAGCCUUGCUCCAAGAUAAUAGAAGAUUAUUCAUUGUAGAAACUAGAAAGGGUAGAUGAUAAAAUAGUAAUUGGGCACCAACUAUUAUUUUGCCUAACGUAUCUUACUCUUCUCAAUGUAGAUGUCUUACUUCUAAGGGGUGUGAUUUUAUGACGUAGCUUGUGAGCACAAUUGGUAGCAAUGUGAAGGAGUAAUUGGUCUUUGUACAACAUCCUGUGAUGAUACAGUAGGCCUGUUUCUCAUUAGAGAACAGCGCUGGGUGUCUACAGAGCUCUUUAAAUAGAGAGUCAGAAGGUCACUUCCUCCAUCCUAAUAUGAUAUUCAGCUUUUACACUUUGGUUUGGCAUGGAAAUUAAGACUGGAACCAACACCUUUACUAAAAGUAGUCUUUCAUUGAGCUGAUUAUCACUUGAUAUUUGAGCUGAUAAAUACAUUCCUUGUUAUUAGUGUCAAA